GUGGCUUUGCACCGCUCUGUGAGCCUCCCGGAGCGCCGGCGGCGCCCCCCAGCCCGACCCGGGGCCCACCGCCUGCCCGGCCCCCUGCCACUGCCAGGAGGAUGGCAUCGUGCUGUCUGCCGACUGCUCUGAGUUCCGGCUGUCCGCGCCGUACCAGGGGACCUGGACCUCCUGACGGCUUACCUAUUCUAUAUCAGCAGUGGCGAACCUUUACAGGAUUAUGAAUACCAAAUGCCACUGGUCUCCUGAAGAUACAGCAGCAAAAUGAGACAUCCACAAAUAUGACUUAAAUCGAGAAUAUGUGCAUGUAUAUAACUUCCACCCUUUAUGGUGCUGCUAUUGUUCUCUGAACCACUCCUAUUUCAUCACUAUUAUUGUCAACCUGAAGAACAAGCAGAAAGAGGCUCUCUGAAAUGAAAUGGAUGCUUAUUUGGGAAAAGAGCAUUGCAAUGGGAAUACACAUGCCAUCGUAAAUGAUGAGAAUAUUCAGGGAGGACCCCAUCACAUUUGGCUGCCAUAUCUCCUUGGACUCCUCUUGGCUGUGACAGGGUCUCAGACAGCCCUUGCCGUUGAUGACCUUGAUGGUUUGAGGAGCCCUGGUCAGAUGCAUUGCAGGAUGCUCUUCAGUUGGGAUUUGUCUGAGGUUUUCCUCAUAAAUAGCCUGGGUUUAUGGGUUUUGGGAGGAAGACCACACAGGUAAAUGUCAUUCUCAUCAUGUCAUAACAAGGGUACACAAACUGCUGACAUGACUCUUCACUGACAGUGGUGGCCGUGGUCGGCUGGCCGAGGUCUCCCCACUGUGAAGUCCCCUCUUCAUGCUGUCCUCUCUGGAAGGACGUCACCAUGCACAGCCCACACUUAGGGGUAUGGGUUGUGCUCCACUUCCAAGGAGAAGUAGCUACAUGAGUGACUGGGAAAUGUCCUGGGGGGGAUACUCAUCCAUGCCUCCACAUUACUUAUGUACUCAUUCUUUUAUUUAUAUUGCUGGGGACACAUGGAUAUUCAGCCCAUGCUCAGGCUGGACUCCAGUGUGACUUUGCUGCUUCUCCUGCUCAACUUCUUUGAGGUUGGCCUUGGUGAGCUCCGUGGCAGGUUCCCGGCUACGGUGUGCCUCUGAUAGGUGCUCAUCACUUGGCUUUUUGGGCAUUUCCUUAAUUUCUGCUACUAAAGAUGCUCCAGGCUCAUCUUCUGCGUGUUCCGCCUUUGCCUUUGAAUCAGUAAAUUCUCCAAGAAGCCCUGGCUCCUUUACUAGAACGGUGUUAGAAACCAAGAUCAGGCACUGGUGUGUUCAUUGCUAGUGAGGUGUUGUUGCUUCUAGACUCUCUCAGCUGAUAGAGCAAGGGAGUGUUUAA
rnacentral:lncRNA from 1 species